UACGGGGGGGCAAGCGUUGUUCGGAAUUACUGGGCGUAAAGGGCGCGUAGGCGGUCAGCACAAGUCAGUUGUGAAAUCUCCGGGCUUAACUCGGAAAGGUCAACUGAUACUGUGCGACUAGAGUGCAGAAGGGCAACUGGAAUUCUCGGUGUAGCGGUGAAAUGCGUAGAUAUCGAGAGGAACACCUGCGGCGAAGGCGGGUGCUGGGCUGACACUGACGCUGAUGCGCGAAAGCCAGGGGAGCGAACGGGAUAUGAACCGA
rnacentral:rRNA from 1 species